rnacentral:lncRNA from 1 species
GCCAAAUAUAGAGUAAUCUGGUAAUCAAAGAACAAGAAUAUAAUUGAUUGAAACACAUUAGCAAAUUCAUAAGCUAAUUCAAGUUCAUAAUUGUCGGAAAGAGAAAGAAAAAAGAUUUUUAAAAUCUUGGUAAUAUAAUUGAUUUGGCAAAGAUUGUCAAUGCAUACUAAAACUAUUAGAGUCAAGAGCCUCCACUUAGACCAUAAUUAUCUUUCACUGUUAAAACAACUGGAGUAAGGCUGAGAAACCAGAGGACAGCAGAUGAGCCUGGGCUGAGGACUUGAAACCAGGAAUCAGGAAAAGAACCUGAAAGAGACGAGGGACAGUCUACAACUCACAAUCUUACCCACCCUUGAUGCCCAAGAAAACACAGGCAGAUCACAGCUGGCUGGUAGGAACAGACAGCCCAUCUGCCAGGACAGGCCUACGGGACAGCGUCCCCUUUGCCCUCUACCACAGACAGGAAUCUCCAGUAACCAGCUUGAGCUUCCAUGAACCAGCCAGAAGCAGACUACACAGAAGGAGCCACCCGCCAGACAUAUGGUGAUCAGCAGAACAGUGAGACCCAACUCAGAAAGAGAACAGACAGAAUACUCCCAAAAGCCUUUAGCCACCGCAACAAAAGCGGCAAACAUGUCACCUCAAGGACACAGGGCAAGACCGACUGCUGAUGGGAGAAGUAUGAGAAACAGUACAGGCCCAGGACCUAGACCAGUGGUGGCAAACCUAUGGCAUGCAUGUCGCAGUGAACCUUCUCUGUUGGCAGGUAAGCCAAGUCACCCCAGCAGCCGAACAUCAGAUAAUAGCUGUUUUUUCUAAACGAAAACCUCAGUAUUCAAGUUUAAUUGCAGUAUUGGCACUUUGGGAUAAGUGGGUUUGUCGUUUGGGCACUCUGUCUCUAAAAGAUUCGCCAUCACUAACCUAGACCAAAACCAUCAAAGGACUCCUGCCACUGAGGAAGGCACAAGAAAAGCUCUCUCACAAAAGAUCAACCACUGACAAAGGCACAACCACUUCCACAAGGGAAGAGGAGUCAGAAUGCUGAGAAGACCCAAUGCCCAAACUAUAAGAUGCUGAUGUCUGCUGCUAGGGAAGGACAGGAGCACCAAGGGAGGACUGGCCGAAGCUGAGAAACUUCACUGUCAGCAGACCUGUAAUAAAAG